rnacentral:rRNA from 1 species
UCGGGAAUUUUGGGCAAUGGGCGAAAGCCUGACCCAGCAACGCCGCGUGAAGGAUGAAAUCCCUCGGGAUGUAAACUUCGUAAGAACGGGAAGAAUAAGCCUGUGCAAAUAACACAGGUGAUGACGGUACCGUUUGUAAGCUCCGGCUAACUCCGUGCCAGCAGCCGCGGUAAUACGGGGGGAGCAAGCGUUGUUCGGAUUUACUGGGCGUAAAGGGCGCGUAGGCGGCCACCGCAAGUCAGUUGUGAAAUCUCCGGGCUUAACUCGGAAAGGUCAACUGAUACUGCGGGGCUAGAGUGCGGAAGGGGCAACUGGAAUUCUCGGUGUAGCGGUGAAAUGCGUAGAUAUCGAGAGGAACACCUGCGGCGAAGGCGGGUUGCUGGGCCGACACUGACGCUGAGGCGCGAAAGCUAGGGGAGCGAACGGGAUUAGAUACCCGGGUAGUCC